rnacentral:rRNA from 1 species
AACGAACGCUGGCGGCAUGCCUAACACAUGCAAAUCGAACGAGAUCUUCGGGUCUAGUGGCGCACGGGUGCGUAACGCGUGGGAAUCUGCCCUUUGGUUCGGAAUAACAGUUGGAAACGACUGCUAAUACCGGAUGAUGACGAAAGUCCAAAGAUUUAUCGCCAGAGGAUGAGCCCGCGUAGGAUUAGCUCGUUGGUGUGGUAAAGGCGCACCAAGGCGACGAUCCUUAGCUGGUCUGGGAGGAUGAUCAGCCACACGGGGACUGAGACACGGCCCAGACUCCUAGGGAAGGCAGCGGGGGGAAAUAUUGAAAAAUGGCCAAAACCCUAAUCCAGCAAGGCCGCGUGAGUAAGAAGGCCCUAAGGGUGGAAAAGCUCUUUACCCGGGAUGAUAAUGACAGUACCGGGAGAAUAAGCUCCGGCUAACUCCGUGCCAGCCGCGGUAAAAC